CUCCGGCCUUAGCCCUUCCAUUAGCUCGUGUGACUUAGGCAAGUCUCUCUACCUCUAUGGGUCCAGAGUUUCUUCAUCAGUAUGAUGCUCAAAGUUGUAAAGCUUAAAGGCUUCAAGUGAGUGUGCUUCCUCCAGGAGAUAAUGAUGGGUUGUCAUAAAUAGUUGACUUGCCUGAGUCUGUGGAAGCUGAAGACAACCAGAGAGUUUGAUUUGGGAAGAGAUACCCAGUUUACAAUCCACAACCACAGAGAAGCUAGAUCCGUCUUCCAGAAACAGAUGGAAGCAGAUGCAGAAAUCCUCAACUAACCAUUGGGCCAAGCUCCUGGAGUACACUCGAAUUGAGGGAGGAGUGAUAAUAUAAACA
rnacentral:lncRNA from 1 species